UGGGGAAUAGCUCAGUCUGGCAGAGCAUUCGGCUGUUAACCGAAAUGUCGUAGGUUCGAAUCCUACUUCCUCAGC
rnacentral:tRNA from 5 species